rnacentral:rRNA from 1 species
GGUAUGUACUGGCUUCGCUGAUUCCUCCUUUCUGAAGAACUGUAAUGUCAUUAAUUUGGUGUUGCAGGGAAACAGGACUGUUACUUUGAAAAAAUUAGAGUGUUUAAAGCAGGCUAACGCUUGAAUACAUUAGCAUGGAAUAAUGAAAUAGGACGUUCGAUCCUAUUUUGUUGGUUUCUAGGAUUGACGUAAUGAUUAAUAGGGAUAGUUGGGGGCAUUAGUAUUCAAUUGUCAGAGGUGAAAUUCUUGGAUUUAUUGAAGACUAACUACUGCGAAAGCAUUUGCCAAGGAUGUUUUCAUUAAUCAAGAACGAAAGUUAGGGGAUCGAAGACGAUCAGAUACCGUCGUAGUCUUAACCAUAAACUAUGCCGACUAGGGAUCGGAUGAUGUUAAUUUUUUAAUGACUCAUUCGGCGCCUUACG